rnacentral:rRNA from 1 species
UACGUAGGUGGCGAGCGUUGUCCAGAUUUAUUGGGCGUAAAGCGCGCGCAGGUGGUGCGGUAAGUCUGUCGUGAAAUCUCCCGGCUCAACUGGGAGGGUGCGGUGGAGACUGCCGGACUGGAGGCACUCAGAGGCCGGUGGAAUUCCCGGUGUAGUGGUGAAAUGCGUAGAGAUCGGGAGGAACACCAGUGGCGAAGGCGGCCUUCUGGACAGUGACUGACGCUGAGAUGCGAAAGCGUGGGGAGCAAACAGG